rnacentral:rRNA from 1 species
CACGCUGUAAACGAUGAUCACUCGUUGUUGGCGAUAUACAGUCAGCGACUGAACGAAAGUAUUAAGUGAUCCACCUGGGGAGUACGAUCGCAAGGUUGAAACUCAAAGGAAUUGACGGGG